GCAAACGCUGGCGGCAUGCCUAACACAUGCAAGUCGAACGGAGUGGCGGAUGGGCGAGUAACGCGUCAGUGACCUGCCCAGCAGUGGGGAAAAACAGUGAGAAAUCAGUGCUAAUACCGCAUACUGUCGGAUGGACUCGCGUCGGACUAGCCAGUGGGUGGGGUAACGGCCUACCAAGGCAAUGAUCCGUAGCCGGCCUGAGAGGGUGACCAGCCACAUUGGGACUGAGACACGGCCCAAACUCCUACGGGAGGCAGCAGUGGGGAAUCUUCCGCAAUGGGCGCAAGCCUGACGAAGCAAUGCCGCGUGUGUGAAGAAGGCCUUCGGGUUGUAAAGCACUUUCAGCGAGGAGGCGUUACUCGCAGAAGAAGCACCGGCUAACUCCGUGCCAGCAGCCGCGGUAAUAC
rnacentral:rRNA from 1 species